UAAAAUAUCAAUGCCUGAUUUGGACCU
rnacentral:piRNA from 1 species